rnacentral:rRNA from 1 species
UUCUCCUACGGGGGGCAGCAGUAGGGAAUUUUCGUCAAUGGGCGCAAGCCUGAACGAGCAAUGCCGCGUGAACGAGGAAGGUCUUCGGAUCGUAAAGUUCUGUUGACGGGGAAAAAAGACCGGGAAAGGAAAUGAUCCCGGAGGAGAUAUUACCCGUCGAGGAAGUCACGGCUAACUACGUGCCAGCAGCCGCGGUAAUACGUAGGUGGCAAGCGUUAUCCGGAUUUAUUGGGCGUAAAGGGAACGCAGGCGGUCUUUUAAGUCUGAUGUGAAAGCCUUCGGCUAAACCGGAGUAGUGCAUUGGG